rnacentral:rRNA from 1 species
AAUAGAUACCCGGGUAGUCUACGCCGUAAACGAUGGAUGCUAGCUGUAUUCGGUAUCGACCCCGGAUGUAGCGAAGCUAACGCGUUAAGCAUCCCGCCUGUGGAGUACGGUCGCAAGACUAAAACAUAAAGGAAUUGACGGGGACCCGCACAAGCGGUGGAGCGUGUUGUUUAAUUCGAUGGUAAGCGAAGAACCUUACCCAGGUUUGACAUCCUUGGAAUUUCUGCGAAAGCAGAGAGUGCUUUAUUGAGCCAAGUGACAGGUGAUGCAUGGCCGUCGUCAGCUCGUGUCGUGAGAUGUUUGGUUAAGUCCAUUAACGAGCGCAACCCUUGUAGUUAGUUGAAUUUUUCUAGCUAGACUGCCCCGGUAACGGGGAGGAAGGAGGGGAUGAUGUCAGGUCAGUAUUUCCCUUACAUCUGGGGCUACAAACACGCUACAAUGGCCGGUACAAAGGGCAGCCAACCCGCGAGGGGAGCAAAUCCCAUCAAAGCCGGUCUCAGUUCGGAUAGCAGGCUGAAACUCGCCUGCUUGAAG